rnacentral:rRNA from 1 species
GACGAACGCUGGCGGCGUGCCUAAUACAUGCAAGUAGAACGCAGUUGCGAACGGGUGAGUAACGCGUAGGUAACUGCCUCAUAGCGGGGGGUAACUAACGGAAACGAUAGCUAAUACCGCAUACUGUUGGCUGGACCUGCGGUGUAUUAGCUAGUUGGUGAGGUAAAGGCUUACCAAGGCGACGAUACAUAGUCGACCUGAGAGGGUUGUCGGGCAAACUGGGACUGGGAACCGGGCCCGACCUCUACCGGGGGGAGCAGUAGGGAAACUUUGGCAAUGGACGGAAGGCUGACCGCGCCAAUCCGCGUUGUUGAAGAAGGGUUUCGGAUCGUUAAGCUCUGUUGUGCGAGAAGCGGUACCCAAACAGAAAGGGCCGGCUAACUACGUGCCAGCAGCCGCGGUAAUAC